rnacentral:misc_RNA from 1 species
CUUCUGCUGGCUUCGUCAAGAGGUCUGCUCCCCUUAAAUGCAUUAGCCGGUGCCCCGCGUGGACCCGUCUAUUGGUGUGAUAAUUAUCUACGCCGUGGACGUCUGCUUUAAAUGGGUUGUGCUGCUUCUAACCGUCUAUUCAGUUGGACAAUCAAUGACCAUUUGACCUCAAAUCAGGUAGGACUACCCGCUGAACUUAA